rnacentral:rRNA from 1 species
UACAGAGGUCUCAAGCGUUGCUCGGAUUCAUUGGGCGUAAAGGGUGUGUAGGUGGCGCCGUAAGUCGGGUGUGAAAUUUCGGAGCUUAACUCCGAAACUGCAUUCGAUACUGCGGUGCUUGAGGACUGGAGAGGAGACUGGAAUUCAUGGUGUAGCAGUGAAAUGCGUAGAGAUCAUGAGGAAGACCAGUGGCGAAGGCGGGUCUCUGGACAGUUCCUGACACUGAGGCACGAAGGCCAGGGGAGCAAACGGG